AGAGUUUGAUCCUGGCUCAGGAUGAACGCUGGCGGCGUGCCUAAUACAUGCAAGUCGAACGCACAGCGAAAGGUGCUUGCACCUUUCAAGUGAGUGGCGAACGGGUGAGUAACACGUGGAUAACCUACCUCAAGGUUGGGGAUAACAUUUGGAAACAGAUGCUAAUACCGAAUAAAACUUCGUAUCGCAUGAUACAAGGCUAAAAGGCGCUACGGCGUCACCUAGAGAUGGAUCCGCGGUGCAUUAGUUAGUUGGUGGGGUAAAGGCCUACCAAGACAAUGAUGCAUAGCCGAGUUGAGAGACUGAUCGGCCACAUUGGGACUGAGACACGGCCCAAACUCCUACGGGAGGCUGCAGUAGGGAAUCUUCCACAAUGGGCGAAAGCCUGAUGGAGCAACGCCGCGUGUGUGAUGAAGGCUUUCGGGUCGUAAAGCACUGUUGUAUGGGAAGAACAGCUAGAGUAGGGAAUGACUUUAGUUUGACGGUACCAUACCAGAAAGGGACGGCUAAAUACGUGCCAGCAGCCGCGGUAAUACGUAUGUCCCGAGCGUUAUCCGGAUUUAUUUGGGCGUAAAGCGAGCGCAGACGGUUGAUUAAGUCUGAAGUGAAAACCCCGGAGCUCAACCUCCGGAAAAAAGCAUUGGAAACCUGGUCAACUUUGAAGUGCAGUAAGAGGUAAGGGGAACUCCAUGUGUAGCGGUGGAAUGCGUAGAUAUAUGGAAGAACACCAGCGGCGAAGGCGGCUUACUGGACUGUAACUGACGUUGAGGCUCGAAAGUGUGGGUAGCAAACAGGAUUAGAUACCCUGGUAGUCCACACCGUAAACGAUGAACACUAGGUGUUAGGAGGUUUCCGCCUCUUAGUGCCGAAGCUAACGCAUUAAGUGUUCCGCCUGGGGAGUACGACCGCAAGGUUGAAACUCAAAGGAAUUGACGGGGACCCGCACAAGCGGUGGAGCAUGUGGUUUAAUUUGAAGCAACGCGAAGAACCUUACCAGGUCUUGACAUCCUUUGAAGCUUUUAGAGAUAGAAGUGUUCUCUUCGGAGACAAAGUGACAGGUGGUGCAUGGUCGUCGUCAGCUCGUGUCGUGAGAUGUUGGGUUAAGUCCCGCAACGAGCGCAACCCUUAUUGUUAGUUGCCAGCAUUCAGAUGGGCACUCUAGCGAGACUGCCGGUGACAAACCGGAGGAAGGCGGGGACGACGUCAGAUCAUCAUGCCCCUUAUGACCUGGGCUACACACGUGCUACAAUGGCGUAUACAACGAGUUGCCAACCUGUGAAGGUGAGCUAAUCUCUUAAAGUACGUCUCAGUUCGGACUGCAGUCUGCAACUCGACUGCACGAAGUCGGAAUCGCUAGUAAUCGCGGAUCAGCACGCCGCGGUGAAUACGUUCCCGGGUCUUGCACUCACCGCCCGUCA
rnacentral:rRNA from 1 species